UUGAACGCUGGCGGCAUGCUUUACACCUGCAAGUCGAACGGUAACAGGCCGCAAGGUGCUGACGAGUGGCGACCGGGUGAGUAAUGCAUCGGAACGUGCCCAGUCGUGGGGGAUAACUACUCGAAAGAGUAGCUAAUACCGCAUACGAUCUAUGGAUGAAAGCGGGGGACCGUAAGGCCUCGCGCGAUUGGAGCGGCCGAUGUCAGAUUAGGUAGUUGGUGGGGUAAAGGCUCACCAAGCCAACGAUCUGUAGCUGGUCUGAGAGGACGACCAGCCACACUGGGACUGAGACACGGCCCAGACUCCUACGGGAGGCAGCAGUGGGGAAUUUUGGACAAUGGGCGCAAGCCUGAUCCAGCAAUGCCGCGUGCAGGAAGAAGGCCUUCGGGUCGUAAACUGCUUUUGUACGGAACGAAACGGCUCUGGUUAAUACCCGGGGCUAAUGACGGUACCGUAAGAAUAAGCACCGGCUAACUACGUG
rnacentral:rRNA from 1 species